AUGUACUCCAAGUGCGGUUCAUUGGCCCAGGCGCUGGAAGUGUUCCACUCCAUCAAACGAGAAGACCGGAAACUUGUGUCAUACAAUACUGCGAUACAAGCAAUUUCCAUGCAUGGGCAUGGGGGCGAUGCACUGAAGUUGUUUGAUGAAAUGCCGACAUGUAUUGAGCCGGACGAAGUGACUUACAUUGCUGUUUUGUGCGGAUGCAACCAUGCUGGGCUUGUGGACGACGGCCUUAGGGUUUUUCACGGCAUGAGGGUUCCUCCUAAUGUAAAGCACUAUGGCACUGUUGUGGACCUUCUUGGCCGUGCAGGCCGCCUUGCUGAGGCAUAUGGUACCAUUAAGUCUAUGCCGUUUCCGGUAGAUAUUGUCCUCUGGCAGACAUUGCUUGGUGCGUCCAAGACGCAUGGUGAUCUUGAGCUCGCGGAGCUAGCUGCUACAAAGCUUGCUGAGCUUGGUUCAAAUGUUGAUGGUGACUAUGUGCUCCUCUCCAAUGUAUAUGUGUCCAAGGCAUGGUGGGCAGAUGUUGGUCGAGUCCGUGAUACCAUGCGAAGCAAUGAUGUGCGGAAAGUACCUGGUUUCAGCUACACAGAGAUAAGUGGUGUAAUGCAUAAGUUCAUUAAUGGUGAUAAAGAGCACCCAAGGUUGCAGGAGAUUUACAGAGCGCUAGAGGAAAUUAUGUCAAGAAUAGGUGAGCUGGGAUAUGAGCCGGAAACAAGCAAUGUGCUUCAUGACAUCGGGGAGGAGGAGAAGCAGUAUGCACUGUCCUAUCAUAGCGAAAAACUGGCCAUUGCAUUUGGGUUGAUUGCCACACCACCCGGGGAGACCCUGCGGGUGAUAAAAAAAUCUGCGUAUCUGUGGGGACUGUCAUGUAGUGGCAAAGCUAAUAUCUAA
rnacentral:rRNA from 1 species